AGUGAACGCUGGCGGUAGGCCUAACACAUGCAAGUCGAACGGCAGCACAGUAAGAGCUUGCUCUUACGGGUGGCGAGUGGCGGACGGGUGAGGAAUACAUCGGAAUCUACUUUUUCGUGGGGGAUAACGUAGGGAAACUUACGCUAAUACCGCAUACGACCUACGGGUGAAAGCAGGGGAUCUUCGGACCUUGCGCGAUUGAAUGAGCCGAUGUCGGAUUAGCUAGUUGGCGGGGUAAAGGCCCACCAAGGCGACGAUCCGUAGCUGGUCUGAGAGGAUGAUCAGCCACACUGGAACUGAGACACGGUCCAGGCUCCUACGGGAGGCAGCAGUGGGGAAUAUUGGACAAUGGGCGCAAGCCUGAUCCAGCCAUACCGCGUGGGUGAAGAAGGCCUUCGGGUUGUAAAGCCCUUUUGUUGGGAAAGAAAAGCAGCAGGUUAAUACCCCGCUGUUCUGACGGUACCCAAAGGAUAAGCACCGGCUAACUUCGUG
rnacentral:rRNA from 1 species